rnacentral:rRNA from 1 species
AAAGGAGAGUGCACUUGAUUGUGGCUCCCAAUUUUUUCAAACCCAUCACCC